rnacentral:rRNA from 1 species
UCAAUGGCCACAGUUGUUCUGUGUUUUUUCAUAAACCUAUAAAACAGUUUAGAAUGUUUAUUGUGUGUAUACACAUUUAAUACAACUUUCAGCAACGGAUCUCUUGGCUCUCGCAUCGAUGAAGAACGCAGCGAAAUGCGAUAAGUAAUGUGAAUUGCAGA